rnacentral:lncRNA from 1 species
UUUAUGUUUUUGAUGAUUAAUUAAUGGAUUUAUAGUUUCUUAAUGAUGAAUGUUUAAUCACUGUUUGAAUAUAUGCUUUAUGUUUAAGUUCUUUGAUUGAUUACCACAGGGCUUUGCAUUUAGUAAUUGGAAGAUAAAUUUAAAGCAGAGAUGCAAUCACUACCAGAAGAAAGGCUUUAGCCGACGAAAAUAAAAAAACUAGGCCGACGAAUUUUUUUUCGUCGGCUAAAGUCCAAAUUUUCCUUCGUCGGCUAACUAAAUAAUUUUUUCGUCUGCUAUAGUCUGUGAACUUUAGCCGACGAAAUUUUUAAAACUUUAGCCGACGAAAUUUUUAAAAGUUUAGCUGACGAAAAAUAUAAUUUCGUCGGCUAAAGUGCAUUAUAUUUGCAGAUCUGGACAACAACUCAUCUGGAAAAAAAAAACUAUACGUAGAACCUUCAAACGCAAAAAAGUCGUGAAAUAAGAUAUGACCAGAAUUGUGAAAUACGUCUACGGUUGAAAAAUCACGGUAUUCUGGUAAAGUCUCGGUGCCGAUAGUUGCGGUCAAUGCAAUUUACCCUUAUUAUUCACUAUGCUGCAGAUUUGGCGUUCGGUGUCCGAUUGACUAUUGUGAUACCUUUCUGGAAGCGUAACGGCCCUAACGCCAUGAUGUACGGGCCUUUUUGGCCAUCCGAGUCCGUUUAGGGCUUCAAAAUGCAGUUUUCUUAUUUCCGAUUAGAGUUGACCGUUUCGAUCGAGCCCUUAACGUUGUCGAAUCCAGUUGAAUUUUUUACCAUAGACAUCUUUCGUCAUAAUGAUGAUAUCUGACGGUCGAAUUUUGGUUUGUGAAUUUUAGUCAUCGGAAUCACAACGUGUCUACUAUUUACCGUUAUUAUUCCCUAUGGGAAGCCCUAUCGUCGGAAGGUAAAUGUCUCAAAAUUUUUAUAUGGGCAAUUGCGUCUCAUCUACGUGAGAGUUUUUUGUGUUGAAGGUUUGACCAAACUACGUAAUAUAGAGGGAGAUAUGAGCGUUUUCGUGUGAUAAGUGACGAUGGAUUAUGGUUGACCGUUUCGAUCGAGCCCUUAACGUUGUCAGAUCUAGUUAAAUUUUUUACCAUAGAUAUCUUUCGUCAUAAUGAUCAUAUCUGACGGUCGAAUUUUGGUUUGUGAAUUUUAGUCAUCGGAAUCACAAUGUGUCUACUAAUGUUGUAUAACUUGUUUAGUAGGUUAUACAACUUUGUGAACCAACUCUACAUAGGAAGCAAAAUUAUCAAAAAUCUCGUGAAAUAAGAUGUGUUCAGAAUGGUGAAAUACGGUUAUGGUUCAAAAAUCACGUAAAUCGGGUAAAGUCUCGGUACCGAUAGUAGCGGUCAACCCUAUUUACCGUUAUUAUUCCCUAUGGGGAGCCCUAUCGUCGGAAGGUAAAUGUCUCAAAAUUUUUAUAUAGGCGGUUGCGUCUCAUCUACGUGAGAGUUUUUCAUGUGGAAGGUUUGACCAAACUACGUAAUAUAGGGGGAGAUAUGAGUGUUUUCGUGAAUUUAUAGACUUUAGCCGACGAGAUAUUAAAAAAGUCGUCGGCUAAGGUCAAAGUUGGAGGAAAAUUUUCAAAGGACUUUAGCCGACGAAAAUAUAUGAAAAGUCGUCGGCUAAAGUCGAAAAAUUUUCAAAAUUUUCAACCAAAAUUUUCAAAAGAGUUUAGCCGAUGAAAAUAAAGAAUUUCAUCGGCUAAAGUUCUUUAUAUAGGAAUUGUACCGAAGAUGGAUGGUAAGAAGUCUAUUAUCUGCCAAAUUUUCUUCUCGGCCUAGCUCCGCAGUCAAGCCAUCGGAGACCGCCACACUUGUCCCAAAAGUUUCGCCAUCGUCUCUACUUCAUUGCUGGACAGGUGGUGCAUCGAGUGGCGCAUCGAGUGGCGCCGCCAUGAGGGAUAAAUCGAGCUCUAAAACUCCGCCGGUUCGGAUUCGGUGUCGAUCGAAUUUAUCCUUCCUCAGGUCACCAUUUGGUGAGUUCUAUAUAUGGAUAAGUUGAGUUUGAUUAGUACUACAUUCUCCUAGAAUUUGGUAGCUCGAUUCGGUGUGUGUGAGGAGAAUCGAAGAUUUGAAGUUUUUAGGGUUUAAAAUUGGGGAUUUUUAUAUUUUGAUUCAAUUAACCUGUUUAGGCUUAGAAUUAGGCUUCGACUUCUUCUAGAAAGUUGUUCGAAAUGUUGAUAGGAAGAUUCUGUCAAAUUUUGGUGGUGAUUGAAAGUGGCCGAAAGUUUCUGCAGUUUUUUUUUUCAAAAACCAGCAACUUUAGCCGACGAUAUUUAAAUACUAUAUUUCGUUGGCUAUAGUUAUUUUUUUAAUUUUUUAUAAGGUUUAGCCGACGAAAUAGACUAUAUUUCGUCGGCUAUAGUUAUUUUUUUUAUUUGUUUAUAAGGUUUAGCCGACGAAAUAGACUAUAUUUCGUCGGCUAUAGUUAUUUUUAAAAUUUUUUUUAUAAGGUUUAGCCGACGAAUAUCUUAAUUGUUUCGUCGGCUAAAGUCUGGGAAAAAAACCGACGACAUGUUUUUCGUCGGCUAAACUGUGGGACUAUAGCCGACGACGUCUUCUUUUUUCGUCGGCUAAAGUCAUCGCCGACGACCUUUUCCCGACAAAAUCUUAGCCGACGAAUUAAGCUAACAGGCCGACGAAAUUUUUUCGUCGGCUAAAGUGCUUGUCUUGGUAGUGAAUAUAAUUUAUUUAGCUUCUUGUGGUUAAGUGUGGUGAAUUACAUUAUUGCUUGAGAAAGAAUAAUGGUUUGCUUGAUUCCCUUAUUUUCUAGUACGUAAUGAGUCAUGCAUGUUAAAUUUAUACCUAAGAAGGAUAGACUGCAUAGUUAGGAUAUACGACCUUUACUCGAGAGGGAGAGUGACACGACCCACCCCGAAUUUCACCCUGAAACCCAGAGUAAGUCGUGCGGGGACCACCUCCAAGGAAAAUUUACUGAAAAGAUUAAGAAAAUCUCCCUUGCAGAUGGACAACCCUAACUCGAAAAUUUCAUAUUACACUCUUAAUUUAACGCUUCUGAAUAUCACAUAAUAUACAAAAUUCUAAAGUAUUCAGAGCUACUAAACACAAGCGGAAGCAAGAAAACACAAGUAGGUUGAACAGGUAACCUACUGAUGAAAAACUGGCCGAAAAAGCGGGUGACUAAUGCCUCGUCUCCUACUAGAUCCAACCCGAAN